rnacentral:rRNA from 1 species
GACGAACGCUGGCGGCGUGCCUAAUACAUGCAAGUCGAGCGGACAGAUGGGAGCUUGCUCCCUGAAGUCAGCGGCGGACGGGUGAGUAACACGUGAGCAACCUGCCUGUAAGACUGGGAUAACUUCGGGAAACCGGAGCUAAUACCAGAUACGUUCUUUUCUCGCAUGAGAGAAGAUGGAAAGAUGGUUUCGGCUAUCACUUACAGAUGGGCCCGCGGCGCAUUAGCUAGUUGGUGAGGUAAUGGCUCACCAAGGCGACGAUGUGUAGCCGACCUGAGAGGGUGAUCGGCCACACUGGGACUGAGACACGGCCCAGACUCCUACGGGAGGCAGCAGUAGGGAAUCUUCCGCAAUGGACGAAAGUCUGACGGAGCAACGCCGCGUGAACGAUGAAGGCCUUCGGGUCGUAAAGUUCUGUUGUUAGGGAAGAACAAGUACCAGAGUAACUGCUGGUACCUUGACGGUAUCUAACCAGAAAGCCACGGCUAACUACGUGCCAGCCGCCGCGGUAAAAC